CCAGUUGCUAAGCAAAAACUCAGAAGUAAUUUUGUAUAUGACAGUGACAUCAUAAGUAAUGAAGAACGUCUUGGAAAUCUAACCCCAGAAAGGAGUUGCAGUACUCCUUUGCCAGUCCCAGAGGUACCGAUGCCUCCACCUGGAAAGUCCAGGGCAAAACCCAAUGUCUCUACAACUUCUGAGGACACUGAUUCGGGAAAGGACACACUUACCACUUUAAGGUAUGACAUCAAAAUACAGUUUUUAUGAAAUUUGUGAGCAUUUAGGGUUAGCAUGGAAGGAGAAAAUUGAUUUAAAAUCUGAUUUAAGCAGGGACCACAGGGUGUCACAGAGGGAUAAUAACAGGUAAAUAUUCAUGAUUUGAGAAAGAUGAAUUUGUUGAGACAGAUGUAUCGUGUUAAGUUUUCAAAGUAUUCUUAUUUUUGUGUUCUCAUUUUUAUUCUAGGGCAAAGUUCAAAGAAUGUCCAUCACAAAUGCUUACUCACAAUGUGUGUAAAUCUCACAAUGACAAAUUUCCAAUGUCAGAAGAAAGUAAGUAACAGUAACUUUGAACAGGAGUUGCAAGAUGAAAGAAAAAGAGAGAGAUGGGUAAAUACCUAGUGGAAUGUGGAUUAAUAGUGCAUAAGGUAUUUUUUUAUGCCCAGCCUAAAUCUGACAUCACGGAGGAUUUGUUGUGAGAUAUUUAUUCACUAUUUAAUGUAUUCAGUUGAAUUUAUUAAUUCAGAGCCUAUGAUGUAAAAUUGUAUAAGCUCAGUUCAUUAUUUAAUUUAAUGGUGCAUAUUUUAAGCAAUGUUGCAAAUGAAAGCAUAUCUAGUCAGAUGAUUGCCAUUAUAGUUAGUGGUUCAUACACAGCUCCAAGGCUUAUCUGGUGACUUAAAUUAAAUUUAUUGUAAACGGAUAUCUUUAAAUAACAAUGUUUAAACCAAAUAUGCAGAGGUCUUCAUGUUAUAAUUUUGGACUUGACACCACAACAUUCAAUAAAACAAAACUUGUUUCCUCAAAA